AUGUCUGAUGACAAGAGGGAGCUAAUAAACGCGCGGAGACGGGCAUCGUAUCGUAAGAACAAAGAGGAUGCUGACAAAAACAAGGAGCCACUAAAACCUCCGAGGCGAGGUGGUUAUCGAAAGAAAAAUGAGGACACCGCCAACAAGCAUCUCCAUGAAAAUCUCUCUGCCCUUGACAUAUCGGGUAUGCAAAGUGUACCACAGAGCGCUCUCGGUGAUAUCACUAAUGGGGAACAACCAUCCUCUAUAAUCCUUGAUGAUAAAAAGGUGCAGAAAAAGGCUCAAAGCCGAGCUACGUGA
rnacentral:rRNA from 1 species